CCUACGGGAGGCAGCAGUGGGGAAUAUUGCACAAUGGGCGAAAGCCUGAUGCAGCGACGCCGCGUGAGGGAUGACGGCCUUCGGGUUGUAAACCUCUUUCAGCAGGGAAGAAGCGAAAGUGACGGUACCUGCAGAAGAAGCGCCGGCUAACUACGUGCCAGCAGCCGCGGUAAUACGUAGGGCGCAAGCGUUGUCCGGAAUUAUUGGGCGUAAAGAGCUCGUAGGCGGCUUGUUGCGUCGGUUGUGAAAGCCCGGGGCUUAACCCCGGGUCUGCAGUCGAUACGGGCAGGCUAGAGUGUGGUAGGGGAGAUCGGAAUUCCUGGUGUAGCGGUGAAAUGCGCAGAUAUCAGGAGGAACACCGGUGGCGAAGGCGGAUCUCUGGGCCAUUACUGACGCUGAGGAGCGAAAGCGUGGGGAGCGAACAGGAUUAGAUACCCUGGUAGUCCACGCCGUAAACGUUGGGAACUAGGUGUUGGCGACAUUCCACGUCGUCGGUGCCGCAGCUAACGCAUUAAGUUCCCCGCCUGGGGAGUACGGCCGCAAGGCUAAAACUUAAGGAAUUGACGG
rnacentral:rRNA from 1 species